ACUGUGAGGGGAACCACUGGGACCUGCCCUUCUCUGUGAAGGCAGCCUCAGAGACCCAAACAUUUCUGUGAUGGGAGCCCUAGGGACCUGACCUCCUCCGUGAAGGAAGCCCUAAGGACACGCCUUUUACUGUGAGGGGAACCCUGGGGACCUGCCCUUCUCUGUGAGGGGAGCCCCCGGAUCGGCCUUCUUUUGUAAGGGAAGCCCUAGGGAUCCACCAUCCUCUGUGAGGGGGACUACAGAAACCUGCCCUCAUCUGUGAGGGAAAUUCUGAGGACCUGCCCUCCUCUAUCAGGGGAGCCCUGAGGACCCAUGCAUUUGUCUAAGGGGAACCCCAAAGACUCGACCUCUUCUGUGAAGACAGGAUCUGCCAUUUUCAGUGAGGGGAACCCUGGAGACCAGCCCUCUUCUGUGAGGAAGGACCUGGGUACCCACCCUUUACUGGGAAAAGAACCCUGAGGACCCACCUGCCUCUGUCAGGGGAGCCCUGGGGACCUGCUCUACGUUAAAUGAAUAGCUGCAAACAGAGCUCAGGUUGUCAUCCCUGAGGGAGUGGGAUUAUGUCUCCUGGAACUCUAUGGAGGUCAAACAUAUGGUCUCCCAGAAAACCAACACCAACGCCAGGCUUAGUCCACAUGCUCCAGGUAGGCUCUGGGGCCCUCUGGUUCAAGGUGCCUGGAGCAAUCAGCCCUUCAGAUACCCCUGGAGAUGGUGAUUACUUCAUGGCACAUCUUGUAACCCAAGCCGGUCCCAUGAGAAUGUCCCCAGGAUGAGCACAGGUGCUACUGAGAGCAAUGACUUUUUCCCAGUGGACUGGAUGCUGGGGGGAUGGGGAGAUGGUGCCUUUUUAAAUCCUUUAUCCAAAAGCUGAAGCCCGAGACCUAGGCUGGGAAGCCGGGUCAAGAGAUAGACAUGAAGCUCCAGUGACUUUUUUUUCUGAGUCCCUGGAUCAAACCACACCUGAAAGUCACAUAUGUGUUUGAUUUUCUAGUUUUAUGAAGCGGUAAAUCUGCUUUGUUCUUGACCAGUUUGUGGUGAAUUUACUUUGGACACUAAGCGUUCUGAGGCCCCAGGCCCCAGGAGGGAUACAGUAGAUUGGUUCACCCGACAUCUGUUCUAGUCCUUUCUAGUGGGUGUUCCUUUACUGCAGGGGUGGGGGAAGCAAAACUCCAACUCCAAGGCCCCUCCCAGCUAGGGCUCUGUAUCUGAUUGAGGUUCCACCAACCAGGUGUUGUCCUAUGAGACUUGACUUGCAGCCAAGUUGCAUGAAAGAGGGGAGGCAGCCGUUUCGCUGGUGUGUGUGCAGCAGGUGCAGAGGCGCUGCUUGAUCCCCGUAUCACUGCCAAGCUGGUGGAACCUGGAGCUAGUGCUUAGGAUAAGACAUGACGAUUCACCUCCUGUGUGAUUAUAGCAAAAGCAGCAUGCAGUUUUCCGGAUGGGCCAGUUCUGCGGUGAGGUCCUGGGUCCCAGUCCUACAGAGCCUGCCCCUGCAGGCCUUCCAGGGGUUUUGGAAGCGCCUCAUUUCCAGUAUUCACCCCCUUUUCUUGAAAUAGCUGGAGUGGUUUCUGAUUCCUGCAUCAGUAUCCUGACUGAUACAGCAGCAAUUCUGCCUUUGGACAUGGUGUUUGCUUUCCGUAGUCAGGCGUUAGCACGUCAGGCUCCCCCGACCUUGGGCGUCUUACUGCCUCCAGGUGGCAGGAGGCUGGUGACUGCUCCCUGAACCCCCAGAAGUAUAGAUGGACCAUAUUUGUGAUGUGGUUCCCAGCUGACCCAGAUUUGGAGUGGAGGAAGGAGAGAUGAGGAAUGGAGGUGGGUGCAAAAGGAUAAAUUGACUGAACUUGAAAAGAGAAAAUGCUGUCAUUAGCAUGGGCCAUUCUCCCCGUGUGCCUCCUCGGGGUUUGUGAAGAACAGGAAUUAAGUCGUUUUGAGCAGCCUCCAUAGAGUUAUCCUAGAGGCAGAUGUACCCGGGGGUCUUUGGCUAUGGUGCAUGCCUGUCCCACUCCAGAGGAGGAAGACAGCAGGCUGGAGGUGGGUUUGGGUUGUUUUUCAGGAAUCACAAUUUGGGAUCCCUGGUACAAAGCCAACUUCCUUACGAUUUCACACGGAGUGAUUGGCACCACCCAUGCCCAUAUCAAACAGCUAAAAACACAGCCCCAGGUAUGUUCCAGCUUUCUGGGUCUUCUGAGAUAUAUGGGUUGUUCCUGAGAUCAAGGACAGGGCACUGUGUUCUCUCAGUGUAGUUGGGUCCCUAUAUUUGACACUUCUUUUACAUUUGAUUUCAAGCUCCAAAUAAAAUCCCCUACAUAUAAAUGUUCUGCAGAUUCACUGACUGGAUGCCCUCUUGACUUCCUGCUAGUGUGCCUUACUGUAGAGUAGGACAAUGGUCUCUGAGAGUGGGCUUUGAAACAGCAGGCUCAGCAUCACCACGGAACUUGUUAA